UGAAUACGAGAUGCUACGGCGUCGAAGCAGUCUAUGUCAUACUUCCAAGAAAAGCUUGCACUGUCAUAAACAAAUAAUGCCUGUACCAUAACCGACACAGGUGGGUAGGUAGAGUAUACUAAGGGGCGCGAGAUAACUCUCUCUAAGGAACUCGGCAAAAUGACUCCGUAACUUCGGGAGAAGGAGUGCCUUAUUUAUAAGGUUGCAAUAACAAGAUCCAAGCAACUGUUUACCAAAAACACAGGUCUCCGCUAAGUCGUAAGACGAUGUAUGGGGGCUGACGCCUGCCCAGUGCCAGAAGGUUAAAGAAGUUGGUUAGCAUCCGCGAAGCUGAUAACUGAAGCCCUGGUGAACGGCGGCCGUAACGAUAACGGUCCUAAGGUAGCGAAAUUCCUUGUCGGGUAAGUUCCGACCCGCACGAAAGGCGUAAUGAUUUGGAUACUGUCUCGGAGAGGGGCUCGGUGAAAUAGACUUGUCUGUGAAGAUGCGGACUACCUGCACCAGGACAGAAAGACCCUAUGAAGCUUUACUGUAACCUGAAAUUGAAAUUGGACUUUACUUGCGCAGUAUAGGUGGGAGGCGUUGAGAAUAUUCUUGCGGGAUUAUUGGAGCCAUCAGUGAGAUACCACUCUUGUAAUGUUAGAUUUCUAACUUUGUAUCAUUAUCUGGUCAAAGAACAGUUUCAGGCGGGCAGUUUGACUGGGGCGGUCGCCUCCUAAACGGUAACGGAGGCGCACAAAGGUUUCCUCUGAACGGGUAGAAAUCGUAUCUAGAGUGUAAAGGCAUAAGGAAGCUUGACUGUGAGACCUACAAGUCGAGCAGGGACGAAAGUCGGUCUUAGUGAUCUGACGGUGCUGAGUGGAAAGGCCGUCACUCAACGGAUAAAAGUUACUCUAAGGAUAACAGGCUGAUCUCCCCCAAGAGUUCACAUCGACGGGGAGGCUUGGCACCUCGAUGUCGGCUCAUCGCAUCCUGGGGCGGUAGUACGUCCCAAGGGUUGGGCUGUUCGCCCAUGAAAGCGGUACGCGAGCUGGGUUCAGAACGUCGUGAGACAGUUCGGUCCAUAUCCGGUGUAGGCGUUAGAAUAUUGAGAGGAGCCUUCUUUAGUACGAGAGGACCGAGAAGGACAUACCUCUGGUGUACCAGUUAUCGUGCCAACGGUAAACGCUGGGUAGCUAUGUGUGGAGUGGAUAACCGCUGAAAGCAUCUAAGUGGGAGGCCCACCUCAAGAUAAGUAUUCUC
rnacentral:rRNA from 1 species